GGCACUCCACUUAACGCUCAGAGACAUUAAAGGGGGCGCAAGGACUCUCGUCCCUGCUCUAAGGUUCUCUUAGGUGCGCUAGGUGACACGCAGCCAAGCGUGCUGGAUGGUGAAGCCGGAGCUGGUCACAUGACCCCAAUUGCCAUCCCGGAAGUCAAAACAAUCCAAUAAUGUCAUAUGCAGCAAUUAGUGAUGUCACUGUUUACUGAAGCAGAGGUUUUUACCAAGCCUAAAAGAGAUUUUAACAACACAUGUGCUGAGGCGAUAACUGGUUUGAGCGGCAGCCCACGCCGGGGACAGCCGGCCGGGCCGAGGCGCCAAGUCAACGCCUCCCCAUGAGCAGGCCCACGCCUCGGGCCGGGCAUGCACGCUGCUUGUCUGAUAUGUUGGUUUUCGUUCCUCCACGUUGCAGCUAUCAGCCACCCCCUGCGUUCCGGGCUGCACAGUGACUCAGCUUCCCCGAAACCCACCCGCCGCUCCCGCUCCUCUUUGCUCGCACUGUUUCCUGACCUCCCGUGACUUCCACCAGGGAGGCGUGAGGUUUCCCCUGAAAGGCAGUCUCAAAAAAGCCAAGAACGCGCUUCCUUUGGAGUAGAGGAAAGGGGUCCAACUCACAAAAGAAUGCAAAGACCCACAGCGAUCCCCAAACUUCAAUUCCCGCACAAAAUAAACCCAAACAACAAAUACGAAAACCCCUUUCUUGAGACUAGAUAUGGACACUUAGGCCAAGGCACAGGGCAGAGGCGUCGUUUUGGAACUAUGCACACAGAGGUCUAAGGAGCUUGGACGCAUGCCCUGCCUGCUCAGCUAGAAGAUUCAUGUCUGCUGGCUUCUCCAGCACUAAAAGCACCACCCAGUCCUGAUUGCUCUGUGCCGGCUGGUCCCAGCAGUGCCCGAUCACGCCACGUGCUCCGGGAAGUUGUUCCUCAGCGGUCCCCGGAGGGUUUCUUCCACUCCACCCUGUUUGCAGCUGCUCCAUGAACGCCCGCCACACAGCAGCUGCCUAGGUGUCCUUUUGUCAUCUAAUAUCUAUUUUCCAUAAAUAUCCACGGCAACAGCAUCAUUUCAGUACUUGUAUAUGGGCUGCAUGCCACGGCUCGAUUUUAUAGACCUGAAAAAUAAGGAGCAAGAACCAAGGCCCUGAGCUCAGGAUCUCAGCGCUAACUUAAUCUGAAAAGUGAGCUAUGAUGGUGUCACGGAUGGGACUGAAAAACUAGGCUAUUUGGUUAAGAAUUUUCUAACAACGGGCAUGGAAAAGAGCAUGCAGAAGUUGCUAUGCAAAAAACCGUGUGAUUUGAGGGUAGAAAUGUAGUUCUCUGUCGAUAUUCCUAUUAGGGAAAAACAAAAACCAAAAAAAAACUAAUGCCACCUAUUUUGUAGAAUCAUUCUGAGAAUUAGAGACAAGUUGUACAGGUUAGGUGGCCCAUAAGCCCAAAGCAAACAUAAUAGAUAUUGUAAUUCAUAAAUAGUUAUUAUUAAUGUUAUAAAGCAAAGAAAAUUAUCACUUCCUUCAAAACUCGGAAAAGGGAAAGACGUUAUUGGAUAAGAUAAAAAUGAGAAAGGAUAAGAGGAAGGGGAGGAGUUGUAAUGGAAGCUAUGAUAAGUCAGAUAGUUCUUAGCCACUCCUAAGAAUUAUCACAGACAGGGACACG